UACGUAGGUGGCAAGCGUUGUCCGGAAUUAUUGGGCGUAAAGCGCGCGCAGGCGGUCCUUUAAGUCUGAUGUGAAAGCCCACGGCUCAACCGUGGAGGGUCAUUGGAAACUGGGGGACUUGAGUGCAGAAGAGGAGAGUGGAAUUCCACGUGUAGCGGUGAAAUGCGUAGAGAUGUGGAGGAACACCAGUGGCGAAGGCGGGUCUCUGGGCCGUAACUGACGCUGAGGAGCGAAAGCGUGGGGAGCGAACAGG
rnacentral:rRNA from 1 species